rnacentral:tRNA from 1 species
UCUCGGAUAGCUUAACUGGAAGAGCCCUUGGCGCGUAACCGAGAGAUCUGGGUUCGUUUCCCAGUCUGGGUU